rnacentral:rRNA from 1 species
UACGUAGGGUGCAAGCGUUGUCCGGAAUUAUUGGGCGUAAAGAGCUCGUAGGCGGUUCGUCGCGUCGGCUGUGAAAACCUGAGGCUCAACCUCAGGCCUGCAGUCGAUACGGGCGGACUUGAGUACUGCAGGGGAGACUGGAAUUCCUGGUGUAGCGGUGAAAUGCGCAGAUAUCAGGAGGAACACCGGUGGCGAAGGCGGGUCUCUGGGGCAGUAACUGACGCUGAGGAGCGAAAGCGUGGGGAGCGAACAGG